AUUGAACGCUGGCGGCAGGCCUAACACAUGCAAGUCGAGCGGAUGAAGGGAGCUUGCUCCUGGAUUCAGCGGCGGACGGGUGAGUAAUGCCUAGGAAUCUGCCUGGUAGUGGGGGAUAACGUCCGGAAACGGGGCCAAUUCCGCAAACGGUCCGGAGGGGGAAGUUGGGGGUUCUUGGAACUUACGGCAUUCAUAGAAGCUAGGUCGGAUUAGCUAGUUGGUGGGGUAAAGGCCUACCAAGGCGACGAUCCGUAACUGGUCUGAGAGGAUGAUCAGUCACACUGGAACUGAGACACGGUCCAGGCUCCUACGGGAGGCAGCAGUGGGGAAUAUUGGACAAAGGGCGAAAGCCUGAUCCAGCCAUGCCGCGUGUGUGAAGAAGGUCUUCGGAUUGUAAAGCACUUUAAGUUGGGAGGAAGGGCAGUAAGUUAAUACCUAGCUGUUUUGACGUUACCAACAGAAUAAGCACCGGCUAACUUCGUG
rnacentral:rRNA from 1 species